rnacentral:rRNA from 1 species
GGCGGAUGGGUGAGUAACGCGUAGGUAAUCUGCCUUCAGGACGGGAAUAACCCACCGAAAGGUGAGCUAAUACCGGAUGAUGCAGCGGGGCCGCAUGGCCACAGUUGUUAAAUCCUUCGGGAGCCUGGAGAUGAACCUGCGUGCCAUUAGUUAGUUGGUAGGGUCAAAGCCUACCAAGGCCAUGAUGGCUAGGGGGUCUGAGAGGAUGAUCCCCCACACUGGGACUGAGACACGGCCCAGACUCCUACGGGAGGCAGCAGUGAGGAAUCUUGCGCAAUGGGGGCAACCCUGACGCAGCCACGCCGCGUGCUGGAAGACGGCCCUAUGGGUUGUAAACAGCUUUUACUGGGGAAGAACCUGGACCUUUCGAGGACCACUGACGGUACCCAGUGAAUAAGCACCGGCUAACUCCGUGCCAGCA